AUGCAACGCGAAGAACCUUACCUACUCUUGACAUCCAGAGAACUUUCCAGAGAUGCAUUGGUGCCUUCGGGAACUCUGAGACAGGUGCUGCAUGGCUGUCGUCAGCUCGUGUUGUGAAAUGUUGGGUUAAGUCCCGCAACGAGCGCAACCCUUAUCCUUUGUUGCCAGCGGUCCGGCCGGGAACUCAAAGGAGACUGCCAGUGAUAAACUGGAGGAAGGUGGGGAUGACGUCAAGUCAUCAUGGCCCUUACGAGUAGGGCUACACACGUGCUACAAUGGCGCAUACAAAGAGAAGCGACCUCGCGAGAGCAAGCGGACCUCAUAAAGUGCGUCGUAGUCCGGAUUGGAGUCUGCAACUCGACUCCAUGAAGUCGGAAUCGCUAGUAAUCGUAGAUCAGAAUGCUACGGUGAAUACGUUCCCGGGCC
rnacentral:rRNA from 1 species